GUCGUUAGCUCAGUCGGUAGAGCAGCGGACUUUUAAUCCGUUGGUCGAAGGUUCGAAUCCUUCACGAC
rnacentral:tRNA from 1 species